rnacentral:rRNA from 1 species
UACGUAGGGGGCUAGCGUUGUCCGGAUUUAUUGGGCGUAAAGAGCGUGUAGGCGGCCCGGUAAGUCCGCUGUAAAAGUCCAGGGCUCAACCCUGGAAAGCCGGUGGAUACUGUCGGGCUAGAGUCCGGAAGAGGCGAGUGGAAUUCCUGGUGUAGCGGUGGAAUGCGCAGAUAUCAGGAGGAACACCGAUAGCGAAGGCAGCUCGCUGGGACGGUACUGACGCUGAGGCGCGAAAGCGU